AGUGUCUUCAUCUCUGCAUCCCUAGUGCAACAGAGCAUGAUAAAAAUUCAAUAAAUAUUUAUUGAAGAGUCUUGUUGUCUUUUGGGAAAGGAACUCUAUGGUUACCUUUACUCUAAGUUAAAAACAACAACAACAACAACAACAAAAACACAAAACCCUGAGGCUCAGAAGAUAAAUAUUUGCUGAAGAUCACUGUGCUUAUUAGAUGGGUGUUACUGAUUCUUACCUCAGAGAAGAGAAUGUCAUGGAGACAAAAUGAUCUGCUUAGAGUUCUGCACCCCCCAGCAUGGAGAGCAGAGCGCAAAGAUUUCUUCCGGACUCUCACAUUCCCCUUGGAAUCCAAGAACUGGUCUACUGUCACAACACUUUAGUACCCUCUUGUAAGCCUGUGGACAAAUCCUCUGAUGCCUUGAUACCUCAGUUUCCCCCCACUAUAAAUGGGAAGAUAAAUUCACUAGAAACAGUA
rnacentral:antisense_RNA from 1 species